CCUGCUGCUGCCCCGGAGGCCCCGCGGGAAGGGCUUCACACAAGCCACCGUUUGUUUUCAAAGAAGGGUACUUGGCGGGUAUUUGCAUUCCAAAGGCGGUGUAGGGCCCUCCUCGGAGGCGAAACUCCGCCCGAAUUUGCCACGUGAAUUUUGUAGAUUUGGGACCAUACAUUGGAAAACAAGAUUCGGAAGUGUGCUCCAUUCAGUCUUUACUGCUUAGAGAGGACAACAGUUUUUUGAAACUCACAGAAGCUUGAAACCUGCCUAUGAAUUCCAAGUUAAGCACUUCUGCUUUUAGAGAAGAGAUCACAACAACCCCUGAGUUGCAGAGACCGAAACUUUAAAAGAUCGCCAUGAGGAAGGCAGAGGGUAAAUCAUCGCGCCCAGCUUACAAAUGAGAAAAGGGAGGCAGACUGGGAAGUCACUUGUUUCAGAAAGAUUUGCGGCCCUGACCUUGAGAAGCAGAAGUAGGAAAAAUGGAGAUACUUAUCCUUCUAAGUGUGGGAAGCCACUGUUUUCCCCAGUGCUCAGCUUUGUAUUCUUAGGAGACUAGGCCCAGAGAGGACAUGUGUUCCUUCGUCUGAACCAGGGAAGCUGGCAUGGGCUGCUGACCUCCUGUAGAAAGAAACUGCCCUUGGCCAAUGGAGAGUGAGUCAGUGGAGGCACCUUCUGAGGUACAAGAUGCCGGAAUACAAAUGGGCUUUCUUUGUACCACUGCUUCCGUCCAUGAGCCCAAAGCAAAUCUGUCUGUAGACAGUGUAUCUGAAUACCCCAAAAGCGUUAACUAAGCUAGCCUCAUCUUCAUGAUUUCGUGUGAUACAGAAAACCACAACCUUUGAUCUCAGGCUGGGGAAGAUGGAGAAGCACAAAUUAAAUCCCAGAUCUGAAGAGGGGUCUCCUGUUCUUACUGUGGGAGAAGACCCCUCUUCUGUGCAGCUGACUGACCCCGACAGCCUUCCCUUAAAAGUUGCUGAUGAUGCAAGAGGUAGCAGCUUAGAGCUGGGGGGAGUGAGGACCGUUCCUAUACUCUCCUUCCCCAGGAAUAAGGCAAGUGAAGGGCGCCUUCUUUUCACUAUAGGUUAGCCUGUGAAUUCCAGAGACACAGAAGCCUGGGGAGAGGGGGUGAGCUCCAUAUAUAAAGAAAAAAAAGAUGGAGUUCAGAUUAUUAUUCUUUAAAAAUAUUGUGAGACUCUUAGGAAUGAUGCUGAGUACAGAACACUAUCCUCAAUCAACCAGAAGACAUGCGUCAAGAGGCCAGAGCAUGGAAACAAUAUCAUUAAAACCAGAAAAGGACCAAAUUCUUGCAUAUAAAACCUGCCUGUGGGAAAGUCAGGCAGCAAGACUAGGAGGUUGCGACUUCUUAGCAGUGCUGGGAAAAUGAGAAACAAAA